GACGAACGCUGGCGGCGUGCUUAACACAUGCAAGUCGAACGGUGAGGCGCCUUCCUUUUUGGUGGGUGUGGAUGAGUGGCGAACGGGUGAGUAACACGUGAGAAACCUGCCCCCUUCUUCUGGAUAACCGCAUGAAAGGGUGGCUAAUACAGGAUAUUCUGGGUCUGUCGCAUGAUGGGUCUUGGAAAGAUAUUGUUUCGGUGGGGGAUGGGCUCGCGGCCUAUCAGCUUGUUGGUGGGGGGAUGGCCUACCAAGGAAGUGACAGGUAGCCGGCCUGGGAGGGUGGACGGUCAGACUGGGACUGAGACACCGCACAGCCUCGUAAGGGAGGCAGCAGGGGGGAAUAGUGAACAAUGGGCGCAAGCCUGAUGCAGCGACGGCGAGUGAGGGAUGGAGGCCGUCGGGUUGGGAACCUCUUUCGCCAGUGAAGCAGGCCUGCCUCGUUUGUGGGUGGGUUGACGGUAGCUGGAUAAGAAGCGCCGGCUAACUACGUG
rnacentral:rRNA from 1 species